GAUGAACGCUGGCGGCGUGCCUAAUACAUGCAAGUCGAGCGAACGGACGAGAAGCUUGCUUCUCUGAUGUUAGCGGCGGACGGGUGAGUAACACGUGGAUAACCUACCUAUAAGACUGGGAUAACUUCGGGAAACCGGAGCUAAUACCGGAUGAUAUUUUGAACCGCAUGGUUCAAAAGUGAAAGACGGUCUUGCUGUCACUUAUAGAUGGAUCCGCGCUGCAUUAGCUAGUUGGUAAGGUAACGGCUUACCAAGGCAACGAUGCAUAGCCGACCUGAGAGGGUGAUCGGCCACACUGGAACUGAGACACGUUCCAGACUCCUACGGGAGGCAGCAGUAGGGAAUCUUCCGCAAUGGGCGAAAGCCUGACGGAGCAACGCCGCGUGAGUGAUGAAGGUCUUCGGCUCGUAAAACUCUGUUAUUAGGGAAGAACAUAUGUGUAAGUAACUGUGCACAUCUUGACGGUACCUAAUCAGAAAGCCACGGCUAACUACGUG
rnacentral:rRNA from 1 species